GACAGAGGGUGCAAACGUUGUCCGGAUUUAUUGGGCGUAAAGAGCUCGUAGGCGGUUUGUCGCGUCGUCCGUGAAAACUCACAGCUUAACUGUGAGCUUGCGGUCGAUACGGGCAGGCUAGAGUUCGGUAGGGGAGACUGGAAUUCCUGGUGUAGCGGUGAAAUGCGCAGAUAUCAGGAGGAACACCGAUGGCGAAGGCAGGUCUCUGGGCCACUACUGACGCUGAGAAGCGAAAGCAUGGGGAGCGAACAGG
rnacentral:rRNA from 1 species